UCCGGGCGGGCGUGGCCUAUACAUGCAAGUCGAGCGGACAGAAGGGAGCUUGCUCCCGGAUGUUAGCGGCGGACGGGUGAGUAACACGUGGGUAACCUGCCUGUAAGACUGGGAUAACUCCGGGAAACCGGAGCUAAUACCGGAUAGUUCCUUGAACCGCAUGGUUCAAGGAUGAAAGACGGUUUCGGCUGUCACUUACAGAUGGACCCGCGGCGCAUUAGCUAGUUGGUGAGGUAACGGCUCACCAAGGCGACGAUGCGUAGCCGACCUGAGAGGGUGAUCGGCCACACUGGGACUGAGACACGGCCCAGACUCCUACGGGAGGCAGCAGUAGGGAAUCUUCCGCAAUGGACGAAAGUCUGACGGAGCAACGCCGCGUGAGUGAUGAAGGUUUUCGGAUCGUAAAGCUCUGUUGUUAGGGAAGAACAAGUGCAAGAGUAACUGCUUGCACCUUGACGGUACCUAACCAGAAAGCCACGGCUAACUACGUGCCAGCAGCCGCGGUAAUACGUAGGUGGCAAGCGUUGUCCGGAAUUAUUGGGCGUAAAGGGCUCGCAGGCGGUUUCUUAAGUCUGAUGUGAAAGCCCCCGGCUCAACCGGGGAGGGUCAUUGGAAACUGGGAAACUUGAGUGCAGAAGAGGAGAGUGGAAUUCCACGUGUAGCGGUGAAAUGCGUAGAGAUGUGGAGGAACACCAGUGGCGAAGGCGACUCUCUGGUCUGUAACUGACGCUGAGGAGCGAAAGCGUGGGGAGCGAACAGGAUUAGAUACCCUGGUAGUCCACGCCGUAAACGAUGAGUGCUAAGUGUUAGGGGGUUUCCGCCCCUUAGUGCUGCAGCUAACGCAUUAAGCACUCCGCCUGGGGAGUACGGUCGCAAGACUGAAACUCAAAGGAAUUGACGGGGGCCCGCACAAGCGGGUGGAGCAUGUGGUUUAAUUCGAAGCAACGCGGAAGAACCAUUACCAGGUCUUGACAUCUCUGACAACCCUUAGAGAUAGGGCUUUCCCUUCGGGGACAGAGUGGACAGGUGGGUGCAUGCUUGUCGGUCAGCUCCGUGUCGUGAGAAUGAUGGGUUUAGGUCCCGGCAAACGAGGCGCU
rnacentral:rRNA from 1 species